UUUUUUUUUCUUUUGUUUCUGAAAACACUGCGGAGGGCUCUUUCUGUUAUCUGGCUCUCCCACCUGUUCCAGCUGCGCUCACGGAGUUGUGUUUAGUUUGCAAGGUUCAAGGUUAGCCUGAGGUUGGGCUCAGACCAUGGCCAAGAAAUGUAAACAUGUAAAAGGCAUGUGGUAUGAACGCACUUGGGAAAUGCCAUAUGGUGUUCUUCCUCCUCCCCAUCCUUGCUAGUGAAAGGCCGCUGAUAUUUUUGCAACAAACUCUCUAGGAAAGAACAGAUAGCACCAAGAGAAAACUGCAGAAGAACAAGGCUGAAGCUCAGAUGAGAGUUUGCCCCUUGUCUGAAAUGCUUAAUCAUGCAACAUGAUUUAGGCACUGGUGUCUGUGGACUCACUGUUUCUGCCUGUCUUGCAUGAGCCAUGGAGAUGAACCCACCACAGAAAUCAGCCCCCGCUGUUGCUAGCUGUGCUGACCUCCUGUCACUCAGUUGGAAGAGCCGGAGAUCUCCAAAACAGUUUCUGAUGAAAGGGACUAGCAUCCUACACCAAGGUCUCCUGGGCAGCAUGUGACUGGCUGGAAGGCACCCCCACCUUUGAAUUUUUCCUUGAAAAGCUGGGUACCUGUCUGCCUGCCAACAUUUCCAUGGAAACCCCCAAAAAUAAAGAUUUUCCCAGCCUUGUGAGAGCACACCUGCAAAAGAAAGAAUUGCAGUUAGCCUCUUGCCUGUCCAAAGCGAAUCUCUCAUUAUUGGUGUCACCUAAGGACAUUUUUCACGGACUGGAGCUUCCUGUUGCACAUAUGAAAAAAAUCAGAGUAGUAGCCUGCUGUUUAUAAGAAGAAACCUUCACAGAGUGGCACAGGUAAACUCCAGAUCACUUCAGCAAAGUGCACUUUUGCAGGAAAGGACAUGCAACAGAUCAUAGCUUUAGAAAGGAUCCAAAACCAGUUAACAACUGCAUCUUCUAGCGCACAUCUAGAAUGCAAAUGGGGGCCAAAGUACACCUGAAGAGCACGCCUACCAAGUCAAGGGGCUUCCUAGAUUGAAUGUGAACCAGACGUAAUCAACAUGUUCUGAAAAGAGCGACCAGAAAACAGCAUAGUUUUUACUCUGGAUAUUAAAAACAUAACACUGGAGGCCAAAAUUCGUUUUGAUCAUGCUUGGCAGUUAAUGACAACAGAAUUAUAAUCAGCAUCAUGUUGACCCAGUGUCCUCCAAGCACUUUCUGUGUGCACCAGAGGAACACCUUGUACAGACAAGAGUAUGAAACAAGGUCCCGCCGUUCAUCAGUGCUGCAGCCACUGUGCACAACAGGCACCACGUUAGAGAAAUGUUCCUAGCUUCAGCAGCACGCCUGAAUUUCAAACAAAGGAAGCCUCACAACUAAAAUCCAGACAAAGCCCAAUCCCGGUGCUGCUGUUCUGUGCGCUAUUGGAGACCCUUUGAACUCAACUGACUGAAUGGGCUGAACAAAGAGUACAGCACCCCAAAGGAUUGGGGAGUAACAGCGAUUUCAAACCACCUUGUUAUGAGUCCACCCUGGCAUCUGUAUGGGCUCCUGUGCCAAUGGUACCACUUACAAACAGCCUCAAGGCACCACACUGGUGAUGGAGAAUUUGAUGUGAAGUCUCUCCUGCUCACCUGAAUGCUCAGAGCAGGGAGGCAAGAGACACAGCAGCUAGUACAGACACUUUCAGUCAUCCAAAGGCUGGUUAAACACAUCCAGGGAUACAAGCUGCUUACAGCAGCCUAGCAUACCACUGAACCACACCCUUCAAGUUAUUUCCAGCAAUCCUAACAGCCACUGCAGUCAAAGACUGUCUUGGGGUUUGCAUCUGAAGUCCAGAUCCUGCAAGAAAUGCUACUGCAGGAUUUGGGGCCAUGUUCUACGCUUUUCAGGAUUCUCUGUCCUUAGACUCAAGUUCAGGUUCCUGCCACCCAAACAAGCCUGAAGAAAAACUACUGGUAAGUAC